GGGUUGUGAGGUUAAGCGACUAAGCGUACACGGUGGAUGCCCACGGCAGUCAGAGGCGAUGAAGGACGUGCUAAUCUGCGAUAAGCGUCGGUAAGGUGAUAUGAACCGUUAUAACCGGCGAUUUCCGAAUGGGGAAACCCAGUGUGAUUCGUCACACUAUCAUUAACUGAAUCCAUAGGUUAAUGAGGCGAACCGGGGGAACUGAAACAUCUAAGUACCCCGAGGAAAAGAAAUCAACCGAGAUUCCCCAGUAGCGGCGAGCGAACGGGGAGCAGCCCAGAGCCUGAAUCAGUGUGUGUGUUAGUGGAAGCGUCUGGAAAGGCGCGCGAUACAGGGUGACAGCCCCGUACACAAAAAAAUGCACAUGCUGUGAGCUCGAUGAGUAGGGCGGGACACGUGGUAUCCUGUCUGAAUAUGGGGGGACCAUCCUCCAAGGCUAAAUACUCCUGACUGACCGAUAGUGAACCAGUACCGUGAGGGAAAGGCGAAAAGAACCCCGGCGAGGGGAGUGAAAAAGAACCUGAAACCGUGUACGUACAAGCAGUGGGAGCACGCUUAGGCGUGUGACUGCGUACCUUUGUAUAAUGGGUCAGCGACUUAUAUUCUGUAGCAAGGUUAACCGAAUAGGGGAGCCGAAGGGAAACCGAGUCUUAACUGGGCGUUAAGUUGCAGGGUAUAGACCCGAAACCCGGUGAUCUAGCCAUGGGCAGGUUGAAGGUUGGGUAACACUAACUGGAGGACCGAACCGACUAAUGUUGAAAAAUUAGCGGAUGACUUGUGGCUGGGGGUGAAAGGCCAAUCAAACCGGGAGAUAGCUGGUUCUCCCGAAAGCUAUUUAGGUAGCGCCUCGUGAAUUCAUCUCCGGGGGUAGAGCACUGUUUCGGCAAGGGGGUCAUCCCGACUUACCAACCCGAUGCAAACUGCGAAUACCGGAGAAUGUUAUCACGGGAGACACACGGCGGGUGCUAACGUCCGUCGUGAAGAGGGAAACAACCCAGACCGCCAGCUAAGGUCCCAAAGUCAUGGUUAAGUGGGAAACGAUGUGGGAAGGCCCAGACAGCGGGAUGUUGGCUUAGAAGCAGCCAUCAUUUAAAGAAAGCGUAAUAGCUCACUGGUCGAGUCGGCCUGCGCGGAAGAUGUAACGGGGCUAAACCAUGCACCGAAGCUGCGGCAGCGACGCUUAUGCGUUGUUGGGUAGGGGAGCGUUCUGUAAGCCUGCGAAGGUGUGCUGUGAGGCAUGCUGGAGGUAUCAGAAGUGCGAAUGCUGACAUAAGUAACGAUAAAGCGGGUGAAAAGCCCGCUCGCCGGAAGACCAAGGGUUCCUGUCCAACGUUAAUCGGGGCAGGGUGAGUCGACCCCUAAGGCGAGGCCGAAAGGCGUAGUCGAUGGGAAACAGGUUAAUAUUCCUGUACUUGGUGUUACUGCGAAGGGGGGACGGAGAAGGCUAUGUUGGCCGGGCGACGGUUGUCCCGGUUUAAGCGUGUAGGCUGGUUUUCCAGGCAAAUCCGGAAAAUCAAGGCUGAGGCGUGAUGACGAGGCACUACGGUGCUGAAGCAACAAAUGCCCUGCUUCCAGGAAAAGCCUCUAAGCAUCAGGUAACAUCAAAUCGUACCCCAAACCGACACAGGUGGUCAGGUAGAGAAUACCAAGGCGCUUGAGAGAACUCGGGUGAAGGAACUAGGCAAAAUGGUGCCGUAACUUCGGGAGAAGGCACGCUGAUAUGUAGGUGAAGUCCCUCGCGGAUGGAGCUGAAAUCAGUCGAAGAUACCAGCUGGCUGCAACUGUUUAUUAAAAACACAGCACUGUGCAAACACGAAAGUGGACGUAUACGGUGUGACGCCUGCCCGGUGCCGGAAGGUUAAUUGAUGGGGUCAGCGCAAGCGAAGCUCUUGAUCGAAGCCCCGGUAAACGGCGGCCGUAACUAUAACGGUCCUAAGGUAGCGAAAUUCCUUGUCGGGUAAGUUCCGACCUGCACGAAUGGCGUAAUGAUGGCCAGGCUGUCUCCACCCGAGACUCAGUGAAAUUGAACUCGCUGUGAAGAUGCAGUGUACCCGCGGCAAGACGGAAAGACCCCGUGAACCUUUACUAUAGCUUGACACUGAACAUUGAGCCUUGAUGUGUAGGAUAGGUGGGAGGCUUUGAAGUGUGGACGCCAGUCUGCAUGGAGCCGACCUUGAAAUACCACCCUUUAAUGUUUGAUGUUCUAACGUGGACCCGUGAUCCGGGUUGCGGACAGUGUCUGGUGGGUAGUUUGACUGGGGCGGUCUCCUCCUAAAGAGUAACGGAGGAGCACGAAGGUUGGCUAAUCCCUGGUCGGACAUCAGGAGGUUAGUGCAAUGGCAUAAGCCAGCUUGACUGCGAGCGUGACGGCGCGAGCAGGUGCGAAAGCAGGUCAUAGUGAUCCGGUGGUUCUGAAUGGAAGGGCCAUCGCUCAACGGAUAAAAGGUACUCCGGGGAUAACAGGCUGAUACCGCCCAAGAGUUCAUAUCGACGGCGGUGUUUGGCACCUCGAUGUCGGCUCAUCACAUCCUGGGGCUGAAGUAGGUCCCAAGGGUAUGGCUGUUCGCCAUUUAAAGUGGUACGCGAGCUGGGUUUAGAACGUCGUGAGACAGUUCGGUCCCUAUCUGCCGUGGGCGCUGGAGAACUGAGGGGGGCUGCUCCUAGUACGAGAGGACCGGAGUGGACGCAUCACUGGUGUUCGGGUUGUCAUGCCAAUGGCACUGCCCGGUAGCUAAAUGCGGAAGAGAUAAGUGCUGAAAGCAUCUAAGCACGAAACUUGCCCCGAGAUGAGUUCUCCCUGACUCCUUGAGAGUCCUGAAGGAACGUUGAAGACGACGACGUUGAUAGGCCGGGUGUGUAAGCGCAGCGAUGCGUUGAGCUAACCGGUACUAAUGAACCGUGAGGCUUAACCUUACAACGCCGAAGGUGUUU
rnacentral:rRNA from 1 species